rnacentral:rRNA from 1 species
GACGAACGCUGGCGGCGUGCUUAACACAUGCAAGUCGAACGGAAAGGCCCUGCUUUUGUGGGGUGCUCGAGUGGCGAACGGGUGAGUAACACGUGAGUAACCUGCCCUUGACUUUGGGAUAACUUCAGGAAACUGGGGCUAAUACCGGAUAGGAGCUCCUGCUGCAUGGCGGGGGUUGGAAAGUUUCGGCGGUUGGGGAUGGACUCGCGGCUUAUCAGCUUGUUGGUGGGGUAGUGGCUUACCAAGGCUUUGACGGGUAGCCGGCCUGAGAGGGUGACCGGCCACAUUGGGACUGAGAUACGGACCAGACUCCUACGGGAGGCAGCAGUGGGGAAUAUUGCACAAUGGGCGGAAGCCUGAUGCAGCAACGCCGCGUGCGGGAUGACGGCCUUCGGGUUGUAAACCGCUUUCGCCUGUGACGAAGCGUGAGUGACGGUAAUGGGUAAAGAAGCACCGGCUAACUACGUG